GACGAACGCUGGCGGCGUGCUUAACACAUGCAAGUCGAGCGGUAAGGCCCUUUCGGGGGUACACGAGCGGCGAACGGGUGAGUAACACGUGGGUGACCUGCCCUCAGCUCUGGGAUAAGCCUGGGAAACUGGGUCUAAUACUGGAUAUGACUCCACGGUGCAUGUCGGUGGGGUGGAAAGCCUUGUGCGGCUGAGGAUGGGCCCGCGGCCUAUCAGCUUGUUGGUGGGGUGAGGCCUACCAAGGCGACGACGGGUAGCCGGCCUGAGAGGGCGACCGGCCACACUGGGACUGAGACACGGCCCAGACUCCUACGGGAGGCAGCAGUGGGGAAUCUUGCGCAAUGGGCGAAAGCCUGACGCAGCGACGCCGCGUGAGGGAUGACGGCCU
rnacentral:rRNA from 1 species